rnacentral:rRNA from 1 species
AAUUUCCGCGGGGGCGUCAAAGCUUACCAAAGAAUAUCAAACUCCGAAUGCCAUGUAGAUGAUGAACGGGAGUCAGACUGCACGAGAUAAGUUGGGCGGUCAAAAGGGAAAGAGCCCAGACCACCGGCUAAGGUCCCAAAGUGCGUGUUAAGUGGAAAAGGAUGUGGGAAUUCGAAGACAACUAGGAUGUUGGCUCAGAAGCAGCCAUACAUUCAAAGAGUGCGUAAUAGCUCACUAGUCGAGAGGUCCUGCGCCGAAAAUGUCCGGGGCUGAAACACGACACCGAAGCUUAGGAAUACAAGUAAUUGUAUUGGUAGAGGAGCAUUCUUACCGGGAAGAAGCAGUACUGUAAGGUAUUGUGGACUGUUAAGAAGAGAGAAUGCCGGAAUGAGUAGCGAGAUGGAGGUGGGAAUCCUCCAGGCCGAAUAUCCAAGGUUUCCAGGGUAAAGCUGAUCUGCCCUGGGGAAGUCGGGGCCUAAGGCGAGGUCGAAAGACGUAGCUGAUGGACAACAGGUUGAUAUUCCUGUACUAUCAUAUGACAGAACUGUGGGGACGCAGAAAGAGAGCCUGAGCCGGGAAAGGGAAAACCGGUGCAAGCGGGGUAGGAGUCGUGUAGGCAAAUCCGCACGGCAAUCCGAAGACGUGAAGCGGAGCGAACUAAAGUAGCGAAGCAGGUGAGCUGGCUGCCAAGAAAAGCCGCUAUUGUUCAUAUGAUACCCGUACCGUAAACCGACACAGGUGGAUGAGGAGAGAAUCCUAAGGCCGGCGGAAGAAGCAUUGUUAAGGAACUCGGCAAAAUGACCCCGUAACUUCGGGAGAAGGGGUGCCUGCGAGAGCAGGCCGCAGAGAAUAGGCUCAAGCAACUGUUUAGCAAAAACACAGGUCUAUGCGAAACCGAAAGGUGAGGUAUAUGGGCUGACGCCUGCCCGGUGCUGGAAGGUUAAGAGGAGAGGUUAGCGCAAGCGAAGCUUUGAAUUUAAGCCCCAGUAAACGGCGGCCGUAACUAUAACGGUCCUAAGGUAGCGAAAUUCCUUGUCGGGUAAGUUCCGACCCGCACGAAAGGCGUAAUGAUUUGAGCGCUGUCUCGACAAUGCACCCGGUGAAAUUGAAGUACCAGUGAAGAUGCUGGUUACCUGCGCCAGGACGGAAAGACCCCAUGGAGCUUUACUCCAGCUUGAUACUGGGAUCCGAUGCUGUAUGUACAGGAUAGGUGGGAGGCUGAGAAGCGGUGACGCCAGUUGCCGCAGAGCCGAUGUUGGGAUACCACCCUUGCAGUAUUGGAUUUCUAACCAGCUGCCGUGACCCGGCAGUGGGACAAUGUCUGGCGGGGAGUUUGACUGGGGCGGUCGCCUCCGAAAGGGUAUCGGAGGCGCUCAAAGGUUCCCUCAGAAUGGACGGAAACCAUUCGAAGAGUGCAAAGGCAGAAGGGAGCUUGACUGCGACACCGACGGGUGGAGCAGGUACGAAAGUAGGACUUAGUGAUCCGGUGGUAUAAAGUGGGAUUGCCAUCGCUCAACGGAUAAAAGCUACCCUGGGGAUAACAGGCUUAUCACUCCCAAGAGUUCACAUCGACGGAGUGGUUUGGCACCUCGAUGUCGGCUCAUCGCAUCCUGGGGCUGUAGCAGGUCCCAAGGGUUGGGCUGUUCGCCCAUUAAAGCGGUACGCGAGCUGGGUUCAGAACGUCGUGAGACAGUUCGGUCCCUAUCCGGCGCAGGCGGAGGAUAAUUGAGAGGAGCUGCCCUUAGUACGAGAGGACCGGGGUGGACGGACCGCUGGUGUAUCUGUUGGCUACCAAAGCCAUGGCAGAGUAGCCAAGUCCGGCAGGGAUAAACGCUGAAGGCAUCUAAGCGUGAAGCCCCCCUCAAGAUGAGUUAUCCCAAUAAGUAAGACCCCUUAGAGAGUAUGAGGUAGAUAGGUUUGAGGUGGAAGUGCAGUAAUGCAUGGAGCUGACAAAUACUAAUCGGUCGAGGGCUUAUCCU